GAGUUUGAUCCUGGCUCAGGAUGAACGCUAGCGGCAGGCUUAAUACAUGCAAGUCGUGGGGCAGCGCAGUGUAGCAAUACAUGGGCGGCGACCGGCAAACGGGUGCGGAACACGUACACAACCUUCCUUCAAAUGGGGAAUAGCCCAGGGAAACUUGGAUUAAUACCCCGUAACAUUGCGAAAUGGCAUCAUUUUGCAAUUAUAGCUCAGGCGUUUGAAGAUGGGUGUGCGGCUGAUUAGGUAGUUGGCGGGGUAACGGCCCACCAAGCCUACGAUCAGUAACUGGUGUGAGAGCACGACCAGUCACACGGGCACUGAGACACGGGCCCGACUCCUA
rnacentral:rRNA from 1 species